GACGAACGCGGGCGGCGUGCUUAACACAUGCAAGUCGAACGGAAAGGCCCUGCUUUUGUGGGUUGCUCGAGUGGCGAACGGGUGAGUAACACGUGAGUAACCUGCCCUUGACUUUGGGAUAACUUCAGGAAACUGGGGCUAAUACCGGAUAGGAGCUCCUGCUGCAUGGUGGGGGUUGGAAAGUUUCGGCGGUUGGGGAUGGACUCGCGGCUUAUCAGCUUGUUGGUGGGGUAGUGGCUUACCAAGGCUUUGACGGGUAGCCGGCCCGAGAGGGUGACCGGCCACAUUGGGACUGAGAUACGGACCAGACUCCUACGGGAGGCAGCAGUGGGAAAUAUUGCACAAUGGGCGGAAGCCUGAUGCAGCAACGCCGCGUGCGUGAUGACGGCUUUCGGGUUGUAAACCGAUUUCGCAUGUGACGAAGCGUGAGUGACGGUAAUGGGUAAAGAAGCACCGGCUCCCUACGUC
rnacentral:rRNA from 1 species